rnacentral:rRNA from 1 species
UGGGGAAUAUUGCACAAUGGAGGGAACUAUGAUGCAGCGACGCCGCGUGAACGAAGAAGGCUUUCGAGUCGUAAAGUUCUUUUAUAUGGGAAGAUAAUGACGGUACCAUAAGAAAAAGCCCCGGCUAACUACGUGCCAGCAGCCGCGGUAAUACGUAGGGGGCUAGCGUUGUCCGGAAUCACUGGGCGUAAAGGGUUCGCAGGCGGAAAUGCAAGUCAGGUGUAAAAGGCAGUAGCUUAACUACUGUAAGCAUUUGAAACUGCAUAUCUUGAGAAGAGAAGAGGUAAGUGGAAUUUUUAGUGUAGCGGUGAAAUGCGUAGAUAUUAAAAAGAAUACCGGUGGCGAAGGCGACUUACUGGGCUCAUUCUGACGCUGAGGAACGAAAGCGUGGGUAGCAAACAGG